ACACUUCCUCUCUCGGGCCUCCACCUAGACGCGCACAUGCUCUUCACUUCAAAAUUCCUCACUUUCCUUCGCUUUCCCUUACUUUCUCCCUCCAAUUCCUCGCUUCCCUUUAUCGAUUUCUCCGACAGCGCGUCAGAACGGCUCCGUCCUUUUCGCUCUUGACCUUGUCGUUCCAGAUCGCGAGGUAUGUGCCUUUGGUUGUUAUCAAUUUUGCCGGCUGUGAGGUCUGGGUCUUGGUUAUGGAUGCUGUGGAGUUGAAUUA
rnacentral:misc_RNA from 1 species